UACGGAGGGUGCAAGCGUUGCUCGGAAUCACUGGGCGUAAAGGGCGUGUAGGCGGUUUCGUAUGUCUGGCGUGAAAGCCCCGGGCUUACCCCGGGAAGUGCGUUGGAAACUGCGAGACUAGAGUCCCGGAGAGGAAGGUGGAAUUCCAGGUGUAGCGGUGAAAUGCGUAGAUAUCUGGAAGAACACCGGUGGCGAAGGCGGCCUUCUGGACGGUGACUGACGCUGAGACGCGAAAGCGUGGGGAGCGAACAGG
rnacentral:rRNA from 1 species